CCCCGGGUGGUGCAAAUGGUUAAUGUGCUCAGUUGCUAACUGAAAGAUUGAUGGUUCAAGUCCAUCCCGAGGUG
rnacentral:tRNA from 1 species